AGCGGCAGGCGGCGCGUACGGCGUCAAGAGCUACUAAGAUUUUCCCCCAACUCGUGGGCUCGUGGCCGGUCCUCAACAGACCAGCAGGCAGCCGCUGAUCCGUCGUCGGAACGGCUCGAUCUCGCCGAUCUUGCGGUGAGCCGGCUCUUCCGCAACAUGGUUUACAUCAAGUCCAAGCGCACCUCCAAGUUCAUGGCGCACGAACGACAAGACUGGCCGACCGCUGCAUCUCCGCUGAAAAUUUCGUAGGGUGAAGGUGGUGUAGUCGGAGGAGAGGAUUUGGAUCGGGACGACGUGAUCGACGGGGAGAAAAAUAAGCCCCACAAGACUGAGACCGAGGAUUUUAGCAAUGACUUGUUGUUGCACUCGUUGCCCCUCCGGAGGGAGUUGUCUUAAUAUCAAUAUCUUUCUUUAACCUUUGGGAGGUCGAACCACUGAACCUAUUUAUUUGACCUUGGGACCGUUAGGAAGGGUACAUAAUUGUGCACCUCCUCCUUCCACCCAUGUUUAGUAAAAUUGGCUUCUAAACUCGAAUGUGUGAUCAAUGACUUUAAUGUGUAAUUAUUUGAUACGUUAAUAUGGUAAAUUGGUGGACA